rnacentral:rRNA from 1 species
AUUGAACGCUGGCGGCAGGCCUAACACAUGCAAGUCGAGCGGAUGAAGGGAGCUUGCUCCUGGAUUCAGCGGCGGACGGGUGAGUAAUGCCUAGGAAUCUGCCUGGUAGUGGGGGAUAACGUCCGGAAACGGGCGCUAAUACCGCAUACGUCCUGAGGGAGAAAGUGGGGGAUCUUCGGACCUCACGCUAUCAGAUGAGCCUAGGUCGGACUAGCUAGUUGGUGGGGUAAAGGCCUACCAAGGCGACGAUCCGUAACUGGUCUGAGAGGAUGAUCAGUCACACUGGAACUGAGACACGGUCCAGACUCCUACGGGAGGCAGCAGUGGGGAAUAUUGGACAAUGGGCGAAAGCCUGAUCCAGCCAUGCCGCGUGUGUGAAGAAGGUCUUCGGAUUGUAAAGCACUUUAAGUUGGGAGGAAGGGCAGUAAGUUAAUACCUUGCUGUUUUGACGUUAUCAACAGAAUAAGCACCGGCUAACUUCGUG